UCCCUGGUAGCUCAGACAGUAAAGCGUCUGCCUGCAAUGCGGGAGACCUGGGUUUGAUCCCCGGAUCGGGAG
rnacentral:tRNA from 1 species